GAUGAACGCUGGCGGCGUGCUUAACACAUGCAAGUCGAGCGAAGCACUUUUGCGGAUUUCUUCGGAUUGAAGCAACUGUGACUGAGCGGCGGACGGGUGAGUAACGCGUGGGUAACCUGCCUCAUACAGGGGGAUAACAGUUGGAAACGGCUGCUAAUACCGCAUAAGCGCACAGUACCGCAUGGUACGGUGUGAAAAACUCCGGUGGUAUGAGAUGGACCCGCGUCUGAUUAGGUAGUUGGUGGGGUAACGGCCUACCAAGCCGACGAUCAGUAGCCGACCUGAGAGGGUGACCGGCCACAUUGGGACUGAGACACGGCCCAAACUCCUACGGGAGGCAGCAGUGGGGAAUAUUGCACAAUGGGGGAGACCCUGAUGCAGCGACGCCGCGUGAGCGAUGAAGUAUUUCGGUAUGUAAAGCUCUAUCAGCAGGGAAGAAAAUGACGGUACCUGACUAAGAAGCCCCGGCUAACUACGUGCCAGCCGCCGCCGUAA
rnacentral:rRNA from 1 species